UGAACGCUGGCGGCGUGCUUAACACAUGCAAGUCGCACGAGAACGCUUCAGCUUGCUGAAGUUAGUAAAGUGGCGCACGGGUGAGUAACGCGUGGGUAAUCUACCCUUGAAUUGGGGAUAACCCGCCGAAAGGCGGACUAAUACCGAAUGACAUCUUGAAUAUCUAGGUAUUCAUGAUCAAAGAUGGCCUCUACAUGUAAGCUAUUGUUUGAGGAUGAGCCCGCGUACCAUUAGCUUGUUGGUAGGGUAAUGGCCUACCAAGGCUACGAUGGUUAGCUGGUCUGAGAGGAUGAUCAGCCACACUGGAACUGACACACGGUCCAGACUCCUACGGGAGGCAGCAGUGAGGAAUUUUGCGCAAUGGGGGAAACCCUGACGCAGCAACGCCGCGUGAGUGAUGAAGGCUUUCGGGUCGUAAAGCUCUGUCAAGUGGGAAGAAUUCAUAUGGUGAUAAUACCGCCAUGUGCUGACGGUACCACUGAAGGAAGCACCGGCUAACUCC
rnacentral:rRNA from 1 species